AAAACUUUCAACAACGGAUCUCUUGGUUCUGGCAUCGAUGAAGAACGCAGCGAAAUGCGAUAAGUAAUGUGAAUUGCAGAAUUCAGUGAAUCAUCGAAUCUUUGAACGCACAUUGCGCCCCUCGGUAUUCCGGGNNGCAUGCCUGUUCGAGCGUCAUUACA
rnacentral:rRNA from 1 species